rnacentral:rRNA from 1 species
GACGAACGCUGGCGGCAUGCCUAAUACAUGCAAGUCGAGCGAACAGAUGAAGUGCUUGCCCUUCUGACGUUAGCGGCGAACGGGUGAGUAACACGUAAGGAAUCUACCUAUAAGCGGGGGAUAACAUUCGGAAACGGGUGCUAAUACCGCAUAAUAUCUUCUUCCGCAUGGAAGAAGAUUGAAAGACGGCUCUGCUGUCACUUAUAGAUGACCUUGCGGUGCAUUAGUUAGUUGGUGGGGUAACAGCCUACCAAGACGAUGAUGCAUAGCCGACCUGAGAGGGUGAUCGGCCACAUUGGGACUGAGACACGGCCCAAACUCCUACGGGAGGCAGCAGUAGGGAAUCUUCCGCAAUGGGCGAAAGCCUGACGGAGCAAUGCCGCGUGAGUGAAGAAGGCCUUCGGGUCGUAAAACUCUGUUAUAAGAGAAGAACAAAUUGUAGAGUAACUGCUACAGUCUUGACGGUAUCUUAUCAGAAAGCCACGGCUAACUACGUG